rnacentral:rRNA from 1 species
AUGAACCACACUCUCUCCCCUGGUCUGCGGAAGUAUGUGGUGGUUUUCUUCGAUGACAUCUUGGUGUGUAGUUUCACACUUGACCACUUAGUACACCUGAGGCAGGUAUUACAUCUCUUGUCUGAACAUCAGUGGCGAAUGAAACUUUCCAAGUGUGCUUUUGCACAUAGGCAGGUGGGCUACCUGGGUCAUGUGAUCAGUGGAUCUGGAGUAGCCACGGAUCCCAGCAAAAUAUCAGCUAUUGAAUCUUGGCCAACCCCUACUAAUGUCAACCAGGUGCGUGGAUUUUUGGUUUGGCAAGGUACUACAAAAAAUUAUUCGCAACUAUGGUAUCAUAUGUCAUUCCUUGACUACUCUUCUGAAGAGUUCUUGACGAGAUUCGCUGGCGUUACUAUGAGGAAACUGUUAUGA